rnacentral:rRNA from 1 species
AGUGAACGCUGGCGGCAGGCCUAACACAUGCAAGUCGAACGGCAGCGCACUUAGAGCUUGCGCUUACGGGCGGCCGGUGGCGUAAGGCAGAGGAAUAUAUCCGAACCUAGUUUUUCGUGGGGCUUAACGUAGGGUAACUUACGAUAAUAUCGCAGACGACCUACGGGUGACAGCAGGGGAUCGUCGGGCCGGGCGGGGUUGUAUGAGCCGAUGUCGGAGUAGGUAGUUGGCGGGGUAAAGGCCAACCAAGGCGACGAUCCGUAGCUGGUGUGAGAGGAUGAUCAGCCACACUGGAACUGAGACACGGCCCAGACUCCUACGGGAGGCAGCAGUGGGGAAUAUUGGACAAUGGGCGCAAGCCUGAUCCAGCCAUGCCGCGUGGGGGAAGAAGGCCUUCGGGUUGUAAAGUCCUUUUGUUGGGAAAGAAAAGCAUCAGUUUAAUACCGGGCGGUUAUGACGGUACCGAAAGAAUAAGCACCGGCUAACUACGUG